rfam:Gossypium hirsutum cultivar TM-1 unplaced genomic scaffold scaffold290.1, whole genome shotgun sequence
UGUUAAAAAUUCCAUUCAGUUCUACUGUUAAAAUAUUGAAGUGGUUAACAAAAUAAUCAGACAGUUACACUUGGUGUAACACAUGUACCUUAUAUCGAUGGAUAGAGACCAGUUUUUAACACUAAAAAUUGAUAGAAUUUUUAAUA